GACGAACGCGGCGGCGUGCCUAAUACAUGCAAGUAGAACGCUGAAGGAGGAGCUUGCUCUUCUGGAUGAGUUGCGAACGGGUGAGUAACGCGUAGGUAACCUGCCUGGUAACGGGGGAUAACUAUUGGAAACGAUAGCUAAUACCGCAUAAGAGUAGAUGUUGCAUGACAUUUGCUUAAAAGGUGCAAUUGCAUCACUACCAGAUGGACCUGCGUUGUAUUAGCUAGUUGGUGAGGUAACGGCUCACCAAGGCAACGAUACAUAGCCGACCUGAGAGGGUGAUCGGCCACACUGGGACUGAGACACGGCCCAGACUCCCACGGGAGGCAGCAGUAGGGAAUCUUCGGCAAUGGACGGAAGUCUGACCGAGCAACGCCGCGUGAGUGAAGAAGGUUUUCGGAUCGUAAAGCUCUGUUGUAAGAGAAGAACGAGUGUGAGAGUGGAAAGUUCACACUGUGACG
rnacentral:rRNA from 1 species